UACGUAGGGUGCGAGCGUUGUCCGGAAUUAUUGGGCGUAAAGAGCUCGUAGGCGGUGUGUCACGUCGAUCGUGAAAACUUACAGCUUAACUGUGAGCGUGCGGUCGAUACGGGCAUCACUGGAGUUCGGCAGGGGAGACUGGAAUUCCUGGUGUAGCGGUGAAAUGCGCAGAUAUCAGGAGGAACACCGGUGGCGAAGGCGGGUCUCUGGGACGGUACUGACGCUGAGACGCGAAAGCGUGGGGAGCAAACAGG
rnacentral:rRNA from 1 species